rnacentral:rRNA from 1 species
AGGACGAACGCUGGCGGCGUACUUAACACAUGCAAGUCGAGCGGAAAGGCCCUUCGGGGUACUCGAGCGGCGAACGGGUGAGUAACACGUGAGCAAUCUGCCCUUAGCUUCGGGAUAGCCCCGGGAAACCGGGAUUAAUACCGAAUAUGACCUCGGCCGACAUCGGCUUUGGUGGAAAGUUUUUCGGCUAGGGAUGAACUCGCGGCCUAUCAGCUUGUUGGUGGGGUAAUGGCCUACCAAGGCGACGACGGGUAGCCGGCCUGAGAGGGCGACCGGCCACACUGGGACUGAGACACGGCCCAGACUCCUACGGGAGGCAGCAGUGGGGAAUAUUGCGCAAUGGGCGAAAGCCUGACGCAGCGACGCCGCGUGGGGGAUGAAGGCCUUCGGGUUGUAAACCCCUUUCAGCAGGGACGAAGCGAGAGUGACGGUACCUGCAGAAGAAGCGCCGGCUAACUACGUGCCAGCAGCCGC